GUAACGGUCUAGUCUAGCCAUAUAAACUCAUCUCAGGCUAAGAAAAUUGACUCAAUAUAUACCAAAUGCAAAAACCUAAAAGUUAGCACUUAAAUUUAACAGCAACCACAUCUCUGACUUUUUCCUGUCCACCUCUUUAGACAUAUGAAACAGCAGUUGAGGUUGAAACCCAGAUCAGGCCUUUGAAGAAUUACACACAUAAUUCCAUCUGCACCUGUCACUUCUGUUAAUCAAUAACAAACACAGCUAACUGCAACUACCAAUUGGAAGAAAGAAAAAUAACCUUGGAUGGAGAUAUGCUCACAUUCCAGUAUUCCACUGCAUUUUCGAUUAGAUUUACAAACACAAGUGAUCAAUGCAAUGAUUUUAAAUGCAUGGGUAAUCGAAUAGGAGAUGAAUUCCAUGAAAAGCCACAGAAAUGUUUUAGAGAAGCAAGAUAUAAGAAGUCACAAGAAUGUGGAAGGACCUUACU
rnacentral:lncRNA from 1 species